GCUUGUGCCAUCCAAAAUUGCAGUUAGUUCAUUGGCAGAGAAGUUUGUACAAUGGUCCAUGAUUUUUGCUGUUGAAUUUGAUAUUUGACCACUUCUUUUUUACCUCCUCCACUGUUCGAACAGUACUUCCAACAGCUCGGUAAUCUCUUACCACGCUCUUUUCUUUUUCUGGCUUGUCACUGUCAACCCACACAAACUCCCAUUUAUGAUGUUCUUUUUUCUGCUUACGUCAUUCAAAAUUGCAGUUUCUUCAUUGACAGAGAAGUUAGUGCAAUGGUCCAUGAUUUUUGCUGUCAACUUUGAUAUUUGACCACUUCUUUUUGACCUCCUCCACUGUUCGGACGGUACUUCCAACAGCUCGGUAAUCUCUUACCACGCUCUUUUCUUUUUCUGGCUUGUCAACGUUGACCCACACAAACUCCAAUUUAUGAUGUUCUUUCUUCUGCUUGUGCCAUCCAAAAUUGCAGUUAGUUCAUUGGCAGAGAAGUUAGUACAAUGGUCCAUGAUUUUUGCUUUUAGCUUUGAUAUUCGACCACUUCUUUUUUACCUCCUCCACUGUUCGGACGGUACUUCCAACAGCUCGGUAAUAUCUUACCAUGCUCUUUUCUUUUUCUGGCUUGCACCGUCGACCCCAUUUAUGAUGUUUCUUCUGCUUGUGCCAUCCAAAAUUGCAGUUAGUUCAUUGGCGGAGAAGUUAGUAGAAUGGUCCAUGAUUUUUGCUGUUAAAUUUGAUAUUUGACCACUUCUUUUUUACCUAUUCCACUGUUUGAACAGUACUUCCAACAGCUCGGUAAUCUCUUACCACGCUCUUUUCUUUUUCUGGCUUGUCACUGUCAACCCACACAAACUCCCAUUUAUGAUGUUCUUUUUUCUGCUUACGCCAUUCAAAAUUGCAGUUACUUCAUUGACAGAGAAAUUAGUGCAAUGGUCCAUGAUUUUUGCUGUCAACUUUGAUAUUCGACCACUUUUUUUUUUAUCUCCUCCACUGUUCGGACGGUACUUCCAACAGCUUGGUAAUCUCUUACCAUGUACGCUCUUUUCUCUUCCAUGCUUGUCACCAUCGACCAACACAAACUCUCAUUUAUGAUGUUCUUUCUUCUGCUUACGCCAUCCAAAAUUGCAGUUACAUUGUUGGCAGAAAAGUUACUAAUUCUCUUUGAUUUUGAUUCCAUGUUGUCAACACAAGAACAAAGGCCUAUGCAUGUGUUAUGCAUGUGUUAUGCUGUGUGAUGCAGAUAAUAACCCAAUUCAGGAAGUAAACAACCAAUUUUACAAUCUAGAUCUGUGCCUUUUUUUAUGAAGCAAAAAUCUUUACUUUAAAAAAACGUCACUUGGACCUAAAUGUCAGUGGCUUCUGUUUUUCUUGUACAGUGAAUGACCAAUGAGCAAUCAAGCUUUAGGUAUAGUAGCACAUGACGUCCACGUUCAUCUUCCUAAAUCAUUGAGUUGUUAAUCCUUAUGUUGCAUGUGACUAGCCCAUAAGUAACUCUCAACUUUAUCGUAUCCAACAUUAUUUUGUAAUUGGUUUCUAGUUUUGUAGAUGCUCAAUUUUUUACUCCAACUCUUUAUAUAGUAAUAAUUGCUUCUUUCUUGUUCCUCUCCUCUAGUCCUCCAUCCUUUUUAAAGUUUAAUCUUGGGCUUGGCUUGGCCCUCUAAAUUUAUUUUAUGGAAUUUAAUAUUGGUUCAAACUGAGAAUCUGUUGAUUUUCUGGGCUGCAGUGUUGUCUUGUCUGUAUGCUCGUUAGCAUACACAGACAUCGCCAGCUGUAAUAUAUCAUCCAUCGCUUGAUUGCUAAUCAAUUCAUCAUUUAUUAUGAUGUCAAUGUUUAUGUAGAAUAAUGCAAUGACCAGGAGGUCACUAUAACUUAAUUUGACCGUUUCAUAACCAGAACUGAAAUAAGUUAUGGUCUUAGAAUCAAAUUUAUUUACAUAAGUAUGUUGUAUGUUAUAUACCAGUAUAUAAAUACCAUAUUAGGAAAUAUUGUUAACCUGCACUUGGAACUUAAAUUAUAACUAUUUUGAGGAGGUCUGUAGUAUUUUACAUUUUUCUCUUUACUUAAAAGAAACUCAUGAUUAUAAAAUUUUAGUUUCUUUUAAUAUUCUGAUGUUUGUAUAGCCUCUAUCUCCUUUACUGUAUGAUUUGUGCAUUGAUGUAUAACAAAUAUAGAAGUAGUUUCUUUUUUAUAGUUUCUUAUUUUCUUGCUGGCUCCAUGCACCUUCAACCACUCUGUGGUUGCUAUCUUCGUAGUCAAGUAUUCCUGGCGCUACAUAGUAGGGAUCAUUGCACAUAUAGUUGUGUAAUGUACAUGCAGCCAUGACUAACUGCGAUGCCUUUUCUGGAGAAAGAUUAAUGCAAGUUAAGAAAACUCUAAAUUUCAUUGCCAAAACGCCAAAGGCGUUCUCCACAAUUCUCUUUGCCCUCGAAAGCCUGUAAUUAAAAACUCUUUGAGCGCAUGUCAAAUUACAAAGUGGAAAUGUCUUUAGAAGAUCUGUUCUCAAUGGAAAUGCUUCAUCUCUAAGAAUAUGGAAUGAUAAGUGGCUAUCAGUUCCCGGUAGAGGAUCACAUUCUGGAAAGCCUUCUAUUUAAUACCGCCAACAAUGUGCAAACAGUAAAAACACCGUCACCAGAAAUUCUCCCAUUGCAGCCAACAAUGUGCAAACAGCAAAAACACCGUCACCAGAAAUUCUCCCAUUGCAGCCCACGACUGAUUUAAGGAGAUUUUCUUGCUGGCUUCAUGCACCUUCAACCAGUCUAUGGUUGCUAUCUUCGUAGUCAAGUAUUCCUGGCGCUACAUAGUAGAGAUCAUUGCGCAUAUAGUUGUGUAAUGUACAUGCAGCCAUGACUAACUGCGAUGCCUUUUAUGGAGAAAGAUUAAUGCAAGUUAAGAAAACUCUAAAUUUCAUUGCCAAAACGCCAAAGGCGUUCUCCACAACUCUCCUUGCCCUCGAAAGCCUGUAAUUAAAAACUCUUUGAUCGCAUGUCAAAUUACGAAGUGGAAAUGUCUUUAGAAGAUCUGUUCUCAAUGGAAAUGCUUCAUCUCAAAGAAUAUGGAAUGAUAAGUGGCUAUCAGUUCCCGGUAGAGGAUCACAUUCUGGAAAGCCUUUUAUUUAAUACCGCCAACAAUGUGCAAACAGCAAAAACAUCGUCACCAGAAAUUCUCCCAUUGCAUCCCACGUCGACAUAAAUUUAUAAUUGUCAUCGACGAGUGCCAUAAGCACAACUAAAAAGUGCUUAUAAUUUAGUACAGCGACCCACUGUUGUUGGGAGCCAUCAAUGCUACAUGUUUCCCAUCUAUAGCACCUAAAGUGUUUGGGAAAUUCCAUUUGUUGUGGAAUUGCCAGGCUAUUUGUCUCCAGUCUUCUUCCGAUUGUUGCAUCAAAAAUCUUAAAAAUUAAAACAUAAUUAAUUAUCUAAAUCUGUGUUUCAAUAUGGUUUAAAAAUGAUUGCUUUUUAACUAUGAUACAGAUAGUUGAUGAUCAACACAAAGAGGAAUACAACAAGCUAGCAUAAAUCAACUCAAGCGAAGACGAGGUAACAAUACUAGAAGAAACUCAAUCGAGUAUGAUGCCUAAAGUUCAUGUGUUCGCUAAUGCCACAUCCAGACCUACAGAGGAUUCCAAACGAGGAAACAUUGGUCCCAACCAAAGGAAAUUACCUAAAAAAAAAAAGACUGACUAUUUGGAGAUUGAAUUGCUUAGUCAAUAUCUGAGCCAAUUAUUUUCCCUCAACAGGUGGAGGAUGAAGAUGACCUUUUUGGCCAAUAUGUAGCUUCCAAAAUUACUAUUUUUGAAUUUUUGAUUUUUAAAAUCUCAUAAAUCCACAAAUCAUAUUUACAAAUAAGUUGAAGUAAAAACAAAAUAGCACAUAAAUUGUAUAGAUAAACCUCAUUAAUGUACUUGAAAACAUAUUACAUUUGAAAAGUUAGGUAUCGCGUUAUGGUAACUGUUAAAAUGAACAUACACUGUGGUAGGGUGCUCAGAUCUGUUUUGAAAUUUGAGGGGACAUUUGUCACCUGAGGCCGACCAUGGUCAUGACUGAGGUAUGAAGAUUUGAGGAAAUACCUCUCAAAGAAAAGUAUUUGUAAAUUACAGAUGUCCCAAAAAUGAAAAAAAGGAUUAUGAAUCUAGUAGGUGGUUUGCAAUAUUCUGGACACCCUCUUGAAAUAUUCUAGAGAGGCCAAAAUAUUUUGGAUCUCCUCUUAAAAUACUUCUUCAUUUUAUAACGUUUGAUUUAAUGUACCUGAUAUUAUUACUACCUAGAUCAUUACAACAUGAAUAAGUUGUUGCGGCAGCAGAUGGGGUGGUGACAACUGAUAUUGUGGCAUCACCGGAACUGGCAGCCCAUGACUGUUCUGGGAGAGGGUUGGAUCAGCUAAGUAUGAGAAAAUGUAACCACAGACAUUCACUGCACGAAAUGAUUUCCGUGAUGGCAUGAUCGUGUGUCUGAAAAGUCUCUUCAGCCGUGACAUGGGCCUUAAUAUGUUCUUGAAUGUUCUAGAAUUGAGAUCAAGGCCCAGGUCUUCUGGUAUGCCAUUGCGCGCAGCAAAGGGAAUUGACAGGGGAGCUAGUGUCUGAUAUUGUGCCUUCGUUUGAGUACCAGGCAAGAAAGGAGCAAAGGGUUCAGUGGCACGAGUUGACAAGAUGCAAUGAUCCAAAGAAGCUUUGAAAACAUCAUACAUUUUCAGUGCGGUAAAUGUAACUUUAAAAACAAAUCAUAUCCUCAAUAUGGAAAGCCGAAUCUGCCAAAAGUACUAAACACCCAUUCAACAAUAAAUUGCACCAAAUUCAAACCAUUCAAACAUAUUCCAAAUGAUUCAAUAGGCAGUCACACAUUCAGGUAAUACUCGCACCAUCACAUACGUAGAACGUAAAUUAAGCGCAGAUUCAUCAUCUCACAAAAUUGAUGUUCUCUCGCAGAAUUCUUGUGUUGGCUAGAAAACAUCAAUUAUGAUUGCUGCUGUAACAAUGAUUGAUAACGCUGAGUAUCAAAUGCCAGAUUCUUCGUAUCUUAUUUUACUCUUAAUUUUUUCUUUAACCCAUUAUACUUAUCUCUGAGAGCUCUUUUGUUAGUUUUGAAGCUGUCGCCCCAGCACUCAUUCAGUUUUUCCGCCAGUAACUUCCAUUGUGCACCACAGUUGUUUGAAUUAUAUCUAUAGUGCUAUGUUUGAAUUAAGCAUCUCAUUAAUCAAAUCAUGGCUCAUAUCUUCAUCCCUUCUACAGACUUCUCAAUUUAGUAGUAGUCUUCAAAAAUAUUUCGUGCCUCAUCCAGUUUCUCAGAGAAACUUGACAACAGCGUUUUUGUGGUACACCUAAGGUCUGCGAAAGCUUUGGCGUAUUGGUAAGCUGGGUUGAUGUGUACAAGGGGAGCUAUAUGACAGGACGUCCUGUUCUGAUUUGCGAAGUAUAGUAACAAUGAGUUGUUCUGUAACAGGCUAACAAAAUACCAAAAGCACCGAUUAAUUUGUCAUUCUUUGAGGAUUAUGUAGCUGUUGGUUACAGAUGUAUCAAAGCCAGAAUAGCCUCAUUUAUGCCACCAUCACGACUUUCUAUCUACAGUGUAAUAGGACUUCAGCUUGUCUGCAUGGUCGACUUCCCCAUGUAUCUGAACAAGCAAGCUUGUGGGCAGGGUAACUCACCCCUUUUUCCUCUGCUGAUGGUAGUAAGGGGUACAUCUCUUGAGUGUGUGAAGCUGAGAAAAAAAAUAGCUUCUUAUCAUUCCAUGAAUAUUCUCAUAUUCCAUCAUCAUGUUUCUUGAAGUGUGUCUCCCCGCGCAGCAUAUUUUCCUCUAGUGGUUUUAGGUCUACAGUUUUGUUGAAAAUUCUGGCAGUUUCGUUGAAUUGUCCCACAGCAAUACAUCCAGAUUUCCUGUAGGUCCCAAGGGGCAAAGAUGUGAAAAGGCGAUUAUAGUGUAAAAGGCAAUGGUAACAGUUGUGUAAGCAAGGUGUGAUGAGGCUUGUUACAGCUUUGCAACCUACAGUAGAUCAGUGUAAUUAUUUGGUUCCCCAAACUUUCCCAUUUAAGUUUUGAAAUUGUAAAUGCCACCAUUUCUGGCAUCUGCGAGUGUCUAAAUUUUGAAUUGGUGCUUUAUGGGUUUGAAGGAUCGUAUUGUUUUCCAAUAUGUCGACCUCUGAAUUCCACCAUGGCUUUGUCAGCAGCAAUUUGUUCAGAGAUUUUGUAGUGUUGUGGAUAUGCAGGAGUUCAGACAGUCUGGAUCUGGUCCUUCAGGCAUAAAAAAAAUUAUGCUAGUAGUUUGAGCCCAAAACCUACCAGCUGCAGGGCCCCCAAAAUCAUGUACUAGAAAUUCAACCUUUUUUUGCAAGGGAUGCCAUUUACGCGGUUCUUCCGCAUGUCUCUGCUCUUCUAUAGCACGUCUACCACGUCCUCUAGGGGCCCUGCAUCCUCUUCCAUGCCCUCACCUCCUGCCUCCCCUUCCAAGCCCCUGCCUCUUGCUCCCCUAUGUACUCUCCCACUCUGCCUACUUCCCAAGCAUCCUCCUACCUCUAGUAACUCCACAAGAAUGCCUCCUGUAGCAACCUUUCUACAGAAUCCACUAGCAGUCCUCCUUCCAAUUAUUCCCCUACUGUAACUACUUCCCCUGAUUCCACAUUGCACCAACAUAGGCCCUCUUUCUGACAUGGGUCCCAUCCGCUAGGCCAGGGCCAGGUUAUUGGUAGACAUAGAAGGACUGCAGAGCCAGGCCCAUCACCCGACCUUCCUCCUCCUUGAGGAAGUACCCCUCCAACUCCUCUGAUGCAGCCUGGUCAGUAAAAUCAUUGUGGGGCGCAUCAUGGUAGGAACCACUGUUGUCAGAUGCUUUACCUCUGCUAUCGCUAGGAAUGUCAGAAACUUCCCUAAAACGAACUGGAAUUUGUCGACAGCAUACUGGCCUUUUGGGAUUUCUUCUGACAUCUCGGAUUAAAGGCUUGUCAAAAAAAUUGAUAAAAAUCAGUUAAAAAUUGAGUGAAACCAAAAGUGUUUGGUACUUUUUUGUUCAAGCAGCUUCUUCUGGUCUACCUUCGCCAAAAGAUAUAUAGAUAGUAUCCUUUCCUUUACCUGUUGCAUUUCAGACAACACAAUGGGAUACACAUUUCUCAUUAUCAAAGAUAGCCACUGUGUCUAGAAGUACAGAUUCACGAGACCAUAAGGCACUUUGUACCUCAUUUUGAUAUUCGCAAGAAUAGUUCAUUGCGAAGUCCAUUUGGAUAACCAUUGAAUCUUUCUUCAAAUGAUUGAGCCUGAAUUCUUUUCACUCUAACAUGCCCUUGGAAGAUUGGCAUAAAUUACAUGAUCAGGUUUUGUAAUUCACCAUAGCAACUACUCUUUAUAACUUUCUUCAGCCUUUAUUUUCUUUUUUUUUUUUUCCAUUUCUUAAAGGUAAUUUCUUUGUCUCUCGGUAGAUUUUGAAGCUUCUCUAGUGUCUGUAUGCCACAGGAAUUACGGUAAUAUUUAGACCAAGAUUUUUUGCUAGCAGUGUUACAAAUUCUUUUUGUUUACCUGGUGAUUUUGGAAGAGUGGUACCUGUUCGCUUCACUGCCUUUCCAAGACACAGACUUCUAAAACAUUUUCUUGCUUCUCUUUUCUCAAUUUCUGUUUUCUCAGUGCCAUCUUUCUUCGAUAAGCAUUGAGCUCAUGCUUGCUCAUUACUUAAACUCUCUUUGUAUGUAAUCAACUUGUUGACUUUCUUGUCAGCAUCUUUUUUUCCCCCUCAUUCUGUACUUUUUUAUUUUCUCUAGAUGCAGCAGCUUGCAUCUAAUCUAAAUCUGUGGGUUCAUCUAUGAGCAUUAUGUCUCCUCUCUUCCAACUGCCUCUUGUGCCCUCUCCGAUUAAGUAUACCCUGGAAGAGAUGUGGUGAGAGUGAAAUUCUAAUGUUUAGGACUUCUGGCUCGCCAAGUCACAGAAUUUAAUGGUAGUAGCAUCAUCACUGUAAUGAUGUAAGAUGUGGAUGGACAACAGAGACUAAAUAGAGAAGUAUGAGCUAACUUCAACAUUUAUUUAAAAAAGCAAGAUUGCUGACAAAUUACAUGUGUGUGUGGUAAAAACCACUGGAUUGCCAAGUCUCUCUGAUCUUUCAUAUAAAUGGGGUGGAUGCUGCACUUUAAAGAAUAAAGGCUGAAUUUAUCUGCCCCAGCUUUCUCAAAGGAAGUCCAGAAAGCAACAGUAUCAUAUCACAACUAUAACAAUCAAUACUCACCCAUGCAAAAAAAUAAAAGUAAUUGGCAUUUCAAAUGCCCAUGAGCCAAACUGAGGUCCUUAUACAAUAAUACAUCAAGUUUUUGGACUCGGUGGCAAUAUUUUCUCAUUUUUAAUUUUCUUUUUUAUUAUUUGUUAACGUGUUUUGUUGUUGUUUUUUUUUUAUGUUACUCCGUUAUUUUGCAUGAUUGUGGUCUGAAUACUGUUAGCGCCUUGAGAGGAUUUCAUUGUGGAAAGUCCUUUACAAAUAUACUAAUACUACCAUCAUUACCAUGAAUGACAGGUAGCAUGAAAAAACAUUCCACUUGUCAUCAAACUCUCUAGUAAUCUCAAGCCCCUCACUUGAUAGCAUGAGUAUGUCACCCAGUUGGUAUGAAAGUUGAAUUCUAUGCUUACAAAAUUUAGCAUGUGUUUUCCUUGUCAUGUGAAUUUAUAUGCUUAUGUUUAUGACAAGACAAAUCAGUUGUGUUCAGGUCAUUGCGAAACUGGAUCAGUGAAUUUAAUAUACAUCCAACAGUGUAAACACCAAUACCACUACUACUAAGAACUUGAAGAAUGUUCAUCCAGUUUAUAGGAAUUUUUGUGCAAGGAAGACAUUUUGCCUGCAAACUGGGUGUCGGGUAGAACACUUGUACGAAGUAUAUCACAAGACAAACCAGUUGUGUACUUUAAGAACUUGAACUGAAGAAUGUUAACCCAGUGUAUUGGAAUUAUAAGGAAGACAUUUUUGUUUCUGGAAAUGUUAUUAUGUGAGAAUUGUGCAUUAUGUCUAAAAAAGUGUGUGCAGUUGAACACUUAAAAGAUCACAAGACAAUCCAGUUGUUCUUACUAAACUGGCAUGCAUGUGUUAUUCAAACUUUAUGAACCCAAAUUAAAGGAACUCAUCAGAUUAUUGAAGUUAUGCAAAGAUGGAAGUUUUAUUUCUGUGGAAGACAGUUAAUUACAUGAAACUGCAACUAUGAGUGAUGCCUGCAGACAUUUUGUGGCCAACCUUGUUUUCAUAUCUUAUGGAAGCAUCGUCACAUUCAAUAAAGAGGGUACAGUAUAUGAAAGAAAGCAUGAAUUAAGGCCGGUGUAGAAUAUGGCAACUACUAAGAUGUCGGAUGAACACAAAAAGCAACAAUAAAAAUGACUGGAGAGCCAAGCUAAAGAUUAAGGAGGUUGAGCAAUUCUGUACCCAGACGGAGGAAGCUCCACCAAAAUCGUGAACAUUAAACUCAACAUGACUCAAAAUGUUAUUGUAUAGUUGUUUUGAUUGAGGGGUCCAGACUGUAUUGCCUUCAGUUAUCAGAAUGGAAGGAACAAAAUGAAGAUGUUGGGAUUAAGUUGUGCAGAGUAGUUGAAACUGACAAUGAAUGUUUUGCACAUCAGGAUGCUGUGACAACUCCGACAGCCUUGUUCACACGAGUGAGCCCUUCAGGAAACGCACCUCAUAUUCAACCCAGAAUCAUGCAAACAGUUUGACACAAACUGCCAGAUAACACAAAAGCAAUUCACAAUUCCAAUUGCUGAAUAUCAGCAAUGUGCAUUCCAAGUACAUGACAUUUCUGUAAUUGAUAUUUUAAACAAUGAUGAGGUUAAUAAUUGUGAUAGAUCUUUAGAGGAUAUUCAUCAACUGCAAAGACACUCAGCAAUUAUGUAAAUGUGAUAAUUCUAGGAGUUUUUCCUUGAAAACUGUGAGCACUGCAUGAAAAGCUAUACUGGAGGUGAAUAUCAGUGCUUUAGAAUAUCGGGGCACACUGAAAAAGAUAGUGUUGCGAGAAUUUCUUGUCUUCUGAAUGAAUUAGCUGCUGAAGAGUAAUAAAAACUUGACAUGAGCAACAAAUGAAAACCUCAUCUGUAAUGUUGAUUGUGGACAGGUUAAUUGCAGUAUAAUAGAUUAUUAUGUUAACUUUCUGCUCUUGUCUCCAUAAAGUUGUUUUACCCUCUCACAAGA